UUGUUAGAUUUUUUUCUCAACAGAUUUUGUUAUAUUUAAAUUGAUAUUAUUAAUAUCUUUAUUAAUUAUUAAGAUAUUUUUGAAAUUAUAUAUUUUUAGUUAGUUAAUGUAAAUAAUCAAAUAUUUCAUAUUAAAUAAUUAAUGAAAUAGUCAAACAUGAUUUUUGUACAUUUGAUUUUUUUUUGUACUUCUCUUUUAAUAUAAAAGAUGCUAUUUGAUUAUGUAUAUCUGCAAAAUCUGUCAAGGUGGCAAAAUGAAAUUUACUAUAUAUUAGAACAAAAUAUCUUAAUUCACAUGGAUAUGAUGAGGAGUAAAAAAGUAUAUUUCAAACUAAGCUUUACAGGUUGAAUUUUUAAAAAUUUUAGAAUAAUGUCUAUUUUAAGGGAAAUUGCACUCAAUAACGUUCAAAAAUAUUAUAAUUAAAAAUCAAAAUCAAUGAUAUAUUCUUAAUAUGUAAUGAAAAUUGGUAACUUCAUAAAUUGAUCCAUUAUUAAAAAAUUGCAUUGGAUGACCAACAAAAAAAUAUAAUAUCUAACUAUUUUAUUUGGUACACCAUGAUAUAAUAUAUAAAAUUACCAUCAUAUCCUUUUAUUUCAACGACAUGACCAUAACUAACUAUUAAUUAGAUAUUAAAUAAUUAUUCAGUAAUUUAUGAAAAUUAAAUCAUGGAUUAAUAUACUUCACAUAUUUACACUGUUUAAGAAUAAUGUAAACCAGUUUCUUUGUGAAUCUCAAAGACUAACGACGGCGAUACAAUUAGAUGGAACAACGAUAGGCACAAAUAAAAGGAAGGUAAUGAAGCAGAGGCGACACACAGAUGACGACGUCGGUGAAGAUGAAGCCGGCGAAUCUAAAAGCAGAGAAUCUUGAUUCAAAGGCGGCAAAAAUGAGUAAAGAAAAAAAAUUGGUCUUCCUCAUAUCACCAACUAGAUGACGGUGGGUUGAGGCAGAAAGAGAGGAAAUUGUUAUCCCUGUAAAUUUAUUUAGGUAUUACUAUUUUAUAAUUUGAGGCAUUUAAUAUAUUAUUUCUAGACCAUUUGAUAAUUUUAGUUAUGUGUACUAUACUAUUUAUCAUGUUCAGUCUAUUUAUAUUUAUAUUUUCAUUUGUAUACAAUAUUUCAAAAUAUUUAUUAUCUAUACCAUUUGUUUAUGUAUUAAUUAGUAGUUCAAUACUAUUUUACAUGUGAUGA